rnacentral:rRNA from 1 species
UACGAAGGGGGCUAGCGUUGUUCGGAAUUACUGGGCGUAAAGCGCGUGCAGGCGGCCAUUCAAGUCAGGGGUGAAAGCCCAGAGCUCAACUCUGGAACUGCCCUUGAAACUGUAUGGCUUGAGUAUGAGAGAGGUGAGUGGAAUUCCCAGUGUAGAGGUGAAAUUCGUAGAUAUUGGGAAGAACACCGGUGGCGAAGGCGGCUCACUGGCUCAUUACUGACGCUCAGGCGCGACAGCGUGGGGAUCAAACAGG